AUUGAACGCUGGCGGCAGGCCUAACACAUGCAAGUCGAACGGUAACAGGAAGAAGCUUGCUUCUUUGCUGACGAGUGGCGGACGGGUGAGUAAUGUCUGGGAAACUGCCUGAUGGAGGGGGAUAACUACUGGAAACGGUAGCUAAUACCGCAUAACGUCGCAAGACCAAAGAGGGGGACCUUCGGGCCUCUUGCCAUCGGAUGUGCCCAGAUGGGAUUAGCUAGUAGGUGGGGUAACGGCUCACCUAGGCAACGAUCCCUAGCUGGUCUGAGAGGAUGACCAGCCACACUGGAACUGAGACACGGUCCAGACUCCUACGGGAGGCAGCAGUGGGGAAUAUUGCACAAUGGGCGCAAGCCUGAUGCAGCCAUGCCGCGUGUAUGAAGAAGGCCUUCGGGUUGUAAAGUACUUUCGGCGGGGAGGAAGGGAGUAAAGUUAAUACCUUUGCUCAUUGACGUUACCCGCAGAAGAAGCACCGGCUAACUCCGUG
rnacentral:rRNA from 1 species